ensembl:lncRNA
UAAGUAAAAGUCGGAAUAUGUGAAGGAAAGCUCAGAAAAUGCCUGGGCUUUUUUAGAUCGCUUCGAUAAAUUUUUUUUUAGCUCACAUCACUGGGCCACCAGGUCGCAGAUUUCAGAAACCUGGUUUUCGGAAACAGAGAUCUCCAGGACAGGGCCCCGAGCUUCGGGGGGAGCGUUCCCCAGCUGGACCUAAGCAUAGUGGGCCAGGCCCCGGGCGGAAAGACGCUCCUGGAGCCGAGAUACAGGGGUGGCUCCCCGCGUGACUUACCCGAUUUCGGAGCACUAUUUUCGGACAGUGAUGGCAGAGCAGUGGGUGUACUGGAUGGAGAAAAAUAACAGCUCCAGAGAGCGGCAGAACCCAGACCAUGUCCCAGUACGGGACACUAUUCUCGGAUGCUGAUGUCAGAACAGCAGGUGCAGUGGAUGGAUGAAUUAAACAGUUCCAGAGAGCGUGAUAUCCCAGACCAAGUCCCAGAACGGCACACUAUUCCCGGACACUGAUGGCAGAACAGCAGGUGCAGCGGAUGGAUGAAAUAAACAGUUCCAUGGAGCGGUAUUUCACGGCAGAUAUCCGAUGAUGAAGCGCUAUUGUCGGACACUGAUGGCAGAACAGCAGGUGCAGCGGAUGGAUGAAAUAAACAGUUCCAUGGAGCGGUAUUUCCCGACAGAUAUCCGAUGACGAAGGACCACUUGGGACGCUUUGAAGGAAGGGUCGG